GACUACUCUUCAUUCAAUGUUUUUUAAAUUAAUAAGCUAACCUUAUUGGAUCGACCUCAAAUAUUUCCAUCAGGCCUCAAUACAGUAAACCAUUUUUGCGGACAUUGUCCAAAUGAGAUGAGUCAACACAAACUAGAGAUAAUUGAAGAUAAUGAGGGGUGAUAAAAAGGUUGAGGAAAAUUAUGGUAAGAGAAAUUGAAAUCGUGUCCAAUAGAAACGCUGAAAGUUUGAAGUUUGUUUGCAGUUAUGUCGGCAAGAUUCUACCUCGUUCAACUGACGGCCAUCUCCGUUACGGUGGCGGUCUCACUAGAGUCUUUUCCGUUGAGUGUUUGGUAUCUUUUGCUGGUCAAUGAAGAAGAGGUCGAGGUCAUGUAAUAGGUGUUAAUGCUUAGGGUAUUUUGGGUGUGAAACUGUUGAAGAACUGAAAAUCAUGCG